AAGCGAAACUCCCGCUCACGGCGGGAGUCAUCCUGCCGCGGCGGGCAGGGUCUGACGAGCGGCCAAAA
rnacentral:hammerhead_ribozyme from 1 species